GAUGAACGCUGGCGGCGUGCCUAAUACAUGCAAGUCGAGCGAACAGACGAGGAGCUUGCUCCUCUGACGUUAGCGGCGGACGGGUGAGUAACACGUGGAUAACCUACCUAUAAGACUGGGAUAACUUCGGGAAACCGGAGCUAAUACCGGAUAAUAUAUUGAACCGCAUGGUUCAAUAGUGAAAGACGGUUUUGCUGUCACUUAUAGAUGGAUCCGCGCCGCAUUAGCUAGUUGGUAAGGUAACGGCUUACCAAGGCAACGAUGCGUAGCCGACCUGAGAGGGUGAUCGGCCACACGGGAACUGAGACACGGUCCAGACGCCUACGGGAGGCAGCAGUAGGGAAUCUUCCGCAAUGGGCGAAAGCCUGACGGAGCAACGCCGCGUGAGUGAUGAAGGUCUUCGGAUCGUAAAACUCUGUUAUUGGGGAAGAACAAAUGUGUAAGUAACUAUGCACGGCUUGACGGUACCUAAUCAGAAAGCCACGGCUAACUACGUG
rnacentral:rRNA from 1 species